GGCGGCAUGCCUUACACAUGCAAGUCGAACGGCAGCACGGGGGCAACCCUGGUGGCGAGUGGCGAACGGGUGAGUAAUAUAUCGGAACGUGCCCUAGAGUGGGGGAUAACUAGUCGAAAGAUUGGCUAAUACCGCAUACGAUCUACGGAUGAAAGUGGGGGAUCGCAAGACCUCAUGCUCAUGGAGCGGCCGAUAUCUGAUUAGCUAGUUGGUGAGGUAAAGGCUCACCAAGGCGACGAUCAGUAGCUGGUCUGAGAGGACGACCAGCCACACUGGAACUGAGACACGGUCCAGACUCCUACGGGAGGCAGCAGUGGGGAAUUUUGGACAAUGGGCGCAAGCCUGAUCCAGCAAUGCCGCGUGAGUGAAGAAGGCCUUCGGGUUGUAAAGCUCUUUUGUCAGGGAAGAAACGGUUGCAGCUAAUAUCUGUGACUAAUGACGGUACCUGAAGAAUAAGCACCGGCUAACUACGUGCCAGCAGCCGCGGUAACAC
rnacentral:rRNA from 1 species